ACUCGUGGUUUGCUACAAUAUCGUGGGGUUUCUCAGUAAAGUAGCCUACGAUUUUGUUCGUCCAUUCUGUUUACUCUCCCAUCUUUUGGUCUCCGGCUCCGAUCACUGCCGCUAGUGCUCUAUACGGACUCUUCUACCCGUCGCGUACCAGCUGGAGGGAAAGGCAGCAGGAGGAGGAAGGAACAAGAGCAUCUAAGCGGACGAUUGGCUCAGGAUCUCGUCCCUUGGCAAGUUUAUCGCAGUGGGAUUGUUUCUUCUUAUUGACCAGGUCUGGUUAUUUUAUGUUUAUCCAUUAUCGGGCGAAGGGCUGCAUCAACGAUUAUUAAAUUAAUGAACAGUUGCGGUAGAAGUAAGUGACAAUGGAAAAUUCUUAGGCUUUGCACAUGAUCAAGUUAAUUGUAGCCUCGAUGCAUCUUUGCUCUUCUUGCAAAGGAUGAACUUCGUCAAGGGGGUGGCUGGUCUUCUUAAAAGAUCAUCUGGUGGUCAAGUUGGGGAAGGCGGUUCCUGGACUCAUGCUGAGAAGCACUCAGCUCCUUCUCCAAGAAUCCGGUUCAGUGAAACCAAUGAAGAGGCAAUUUUGAAUUCACUUUGGCAGAGAUAUGAAAAUGCCAUUGACAAGGUGGAAAAGAGAGAAUCGUUGCAAGUUUUUCUUUUGCACUUCAUACAGGCUUAUGAAAAUUGGGAGCCUGAAAAUAAUGGCGAGUUAUCAGCUGAGUGGCCAUCAUCAGAUGAUAUAAUUAUUGGAUGUUCCUGUGGGCAUCCAUCCGAAGUCAUCCUUAUUCUUGUUCAAGAAAUUGCCCGGUUAACUUCUCUUGUGUCUGAGUUGAACAGCAACGCUUCAAAAGCUAAAUCUGAUACUUCUGACCCAUCUUCAAGCUUGACUUCUAGUGCGGAUGGUUUGUAUGUUUUGAAUAGUUUGAUGAUUGCGAAUCGGUCAAUGCACAAUUGCAAGGUUUUUAGCUACUAUGGAGGGGUGCAGAAGGUCACUGCUCUUCUGAAAGCUGCAGUUGUCAGGCUCAAGACUCUGACUAGUACACUAGGUGUUGAUGAGCAAUUAUCGAGUUCUAUUGUCGAGAAGACAAGGUUUCUGCAGAAGAUACUUUGUUUUGCUGUCUCAAUAGUUUUUGGCUUUAUGCAAUUGUAUUCUUCUGGAAACAAGAAUGUUGAACAUAUGGAUUUUAUGAGACAAACUUCCCUGAGACAUAGCCUGCCUGAAGUUUCUGCAAAAAACCGGAAGGACUCUAUUUCUGAAGCAAGGAUUUACUGGCAGCAAAAAGCAAUUAUAUUGGUUAUGGAAGCAGGUGGUGUCAAUUGGUUAGUAGAACUUUUACGGGUUCUUAGAAGGCUGAACUUGAAAGAGCAUUGGACUGAUUUAUCUCUUCAUUAUUUGACUUUGGGUGCUUUGAAGCUAGCCCUGUUUGAUAAUACCCGGGCGCAAAAUCAUUUCAGAAGCAUUGGUGGUUUGGAAGUUCUGCUUGAUGGAAUUGGUCCACCAUCAAGUAAAUUUUCAGACUCUAGUUGUACAAUUCUUUGUGGAGAUGACAGAAACUAUAUCUUCAGGAUCUUUCAGCUGCAAGUUAUUUACAUGGAAGUCCUGAGGGAGUCAGUUUUUGGGAACAUGAACAAUUUGCAGUUCAUCUGUGAAAACGGACGAAUACAUAAAUUUGCAAACAGUGUAUGUUGGCCUGCUUUCGUGCUUCAAGAAUUGCAAGCGAGCUUUGGAUUGGCUGCAUCUGACUCUCAAGUGGUUAACCCUCACCUGACAAAAGACAGCUCUGACAUAAGUUCAGUGAAAAUAGCCUCUUUCUUAGAUACGUCAGGGUCAGAUUGUUCAAAUUUGACCGAGUGGACCAGGUAUUCUAUUGGAUUAAGCAGAGCACUUUGUUCUUUCCUGCUUGCUCCUGAAGAUAUUGAAUCUCAGCAUGAUGAAGCAUCACUGAAAAGUUCCAUGUCUGUCUCUUUGUGCUAUUGGGAACUUUCUAUAAGAUGGACCAUGAAGGUUCUACUCACCAUUUUUCCAUGCAUAAAGGCAUGCUCAAAUGAAACAGAACUUCCCAAUCAUAUAAGAGCUUUAGCCAACUCCAUGCAGCAUUGCUUCCUUUGCACGAUCAGAAAGAUUCUUGUUUCUUCACCGAGCCUCCUUGAGGUCUUUAGGGAAGAGGGAAUUUGGGAGUUGAUUUUCUCUGAGAAGUUUUUCUAUUUUGGGCUUUCUUUGGAAGAGUCUGAUCUGGAACUUGAAGUGCAAAAUGAACUCAACUAUGAUGCAUUUGCUGUCUCUAAGAGCGGCAAGGAUAAAUCAAAAUACAAUGAUGUUGAUAUUCUUCAACUGGAAGGAAUUUCAUUUUUGGAAUUUGCAGCAACAUUAAGCGACAGUACAAAUAAUUUGCCAGAGUGCUCUGUUUUAGUACAAGCACUUGAGCAAUCAGCUCGUAAUCCUGAUCUUGCGACUCUAUUUUUGAGAAGUCUGCAACGGAUUCUGCAGCGUACACCUGAGCAAAGUGUUUGCUCGUUUAAGUCUUUGGACGCUAUAACUCGAGUGCUUAAGGUUGCUUGUAUUCAGGCUCAAGAGGUCAGAAAAUUCAGUAUUUUUCUUCAUGCUGAAGAGGGUGUUGCUGAAGGACGUGGUGUCAGAAAAUUUCAGACAAUCAAGACUUCCGAGGCUUCUAAGAGCUGGGUUAAAUGCAUGCAAUCAUCUAUGGAACUCUUUACCGAAUAUCUCUCUAUUGCAGAGCAUGUGAGAAGUUUGGUUGUACACAAUGCUAGCUGUAUUAAUUGUUUAUUUGAGUUGUUUUGGGAAGAAAGUCUCAGGAAAUAUGUGAUAGAGCAUAUUGUUGGAUUUUUUAAGUUGCUUCCAUUACAUCCAAAUGAUCAAACUGCAAAGUUACAGUUAUGCUCUAAGUAUUUAGAGACCUUUACUCGUGCCAAGGAGAGGGAAGAAUUAUAUCCUGAAUUAUCGAUUGAUCUAUUGGUUAAAAUGAGGGAAAUCAUUUUGAUUGAUCCGAUUUAUUAUCAGACGUUGUUUCGUGAUGGAGAGUGCUUUCUUCAUAUUGUUUCUUUGCUAAAUGGAACGUUUGAUGAGGAAAUUGGGGAGCAAUUAUUGCUGAAUGUUCUUCAGACUUUGACUUUGUUACUUAAUGGAAGCAUUGACUCAAAGGCUGAAUUUAGAGCGCUGGUUGGUGUGGGUUAUCAAACUUUGCAGAGUCUCUUACUUGAUUUUUGCAAGUGGCAACCAAGUGAACGACUUCUGAAUGCUCUUCUUGAUAUGCUUGUUGAUGGGAAAUUUGAUAUGAACGCCAAUGCAGUAAUAAAGAAUGAUGAUGUGAUUCUGCUUUUCUUUAAUGUCCUACAAAAGAGCAGCAUUUCACUGCAGUAUUUUGGACUAGAUGUCUUCCAGAAUUUGUUGAAGGAUUCAAUCACCAACAGAACUUCAUGCUUUAGGGCUGGGGUGCUUACUUUUCUUCUUGAUUGGUUUGCCGUAGGAGAAAAUGACAAAUUGAUAUCAAAAAUUGCUCAGCUAAUUCAAGUCAUUGGUGGGCAUAGCAUAUCUGGGAAGGACAUAAGGAGGAUAUUUGCUCUUCUACGCAAUAAAGCAAUUGGAUCUAAGCAUAAUAAAAGCUCUUUGCUUUUAACAAGUAUUCUAUUCAUGCUCAAGGAAAGGGGUCCUGAGGCCUUCUUUGAAUUCAAUGGAAAUCACUCUGGGAUCUCUAUAAAUACACCUCUCCAGUGGCCAUGCAAUAAGGGGUUUUCUUUUUCAUGUUGGCUCAGGGUAGAGGAGUUUCCUGAGCGUGGUUUUAUGGGCCUUUUUAGUUUUCAUUCUGACAAUGGCAGAGGCUGUUCAACUAUGCUUGGCAAAGGAAAACUGAUUUUUGAGUCCAUCAACCAAAAAAGGAACUGUAUUUCAUUGUCUCUAGAUCUUCAUCCUAGGAAAUGGUAUUUCCUUUGCAUCACUCAUAGUAUAGGAAGGGCAUUCUCUGGAGGCAGCCCAGUGAGAUGCUUUGUGGAUGGAGAUCUGGUAUCCUCUGAAAAGUGUAGUUAUGCAAAAGCUGGUGAUGCCUUGACAUGGUGUACAAUUGGGACAGAAUAUAUUCCUGCAAUUGAAGGGACUGGGCAAAUUAAUUUUGAGAAGGCAUGUGCUUUUAUUGGUCAAAUGGGUCCAGUUUAUAUGUUUUCGGAUACCCUUACUUCUGAGCAGAUAAAGGCUGUAUACUCCCUCGGACCAAGUUACAUGUAUUCAUUUCUUGGUGAUGAGAUUCUGCUGGCUUCAGAUAGUUCACUGUAUGAUGGAAUUUUAGAUGCAAAGGAUGGGUUAUCAUCCAAGAUCAUUUUUGGUUUCAAUGCACAGGCCAGCAAUGGUAGCAGCUUGUUUAACGUGUCCUCCCUGAUUGAUAGUUCAUUAGAUAAGAGCUCGUAUGCAGCAAGAAUUAUGGAUGGGACACAAUUAUGCUCUCGGCACUUGCUCCAAGAAAUAAUCUAUUGCGUUGGUGGUGCUGCUGUAUUUUUUCAUCUUUUAACUCAAUUUGAUCUGUCUGAAUCUGGUAAUGUACAGCAUGAGUACAUACUAAUAAGAACAAUAACAAGAGAUAAACUUGCAGCUAAGAUUAUUAAUCUUAUUGCAUCUGUUUUGGAUGAGAACCUUUCCAAUCAACAGCAAAUGCAUCGUUUCUCCGGGCUGUCUAUCCUUGGCUUCUUAUUCCAGUCAGUUCCACCUGAACAAUUAAAUAUGGAGACUCUUUCAGCUUUGAAGAAUUUGUUUAAUGUUCUAUGCACUUCUGGCAUAUCUGAACUGCUCUUGAAAGAAGCCAUUUCACGAAUUUAUUUGAAUCCACAUAUCUGGGUUUAUGCAAGUUAUGAAGUGCAAAGGGACCUUUAUAUGUUUCUCAUUCAAUAUUUUGAAAAGGAAGUAACCUUAUUACCAAUACUUUGUGGUUUCCCACGCAUUAUUGAUAUAAUCCGUCAGUUUUACUGGGACAAACCUGAUAGUCGGUCUGCUACUGGAUUCAAGCCUCUGCUACAUUCGAUUACAAAACAAGUGAUUGGUGAAAGACCAGUCCAAGAAGAAGUUCGUAAAAUUCGUCUUCUUCUACUGAGUCUUGCUGAAAUGAGCUUGAGGCAAACAAUCUCUGCAUCUGAUAUAAAUGCCCUCAUUGCAUUUUUUGAGAGAAGCCAAGACAUGGCGUGCAUUGAAGAUGUGCUGCACAUGGUUAUCCGCACUCUUUCUCAGAAGCAAGUAUUGGCAUCGUUCUCAGAGCAAGUUAGCUUGAUUGGUGGUUCUCACCUUUUCAUAAAUCUCCUGCAGAGGGAGUUGGAACCAAUUAGGCUGCUAGGCUUGCAGUUGCUUGGGAAAUUAUUAGUUGGAGUUCCUUCUGAGAAGAAAGGGACCAAGUUUUUUAGCUUUGCAGUUGGACGCUCGAAAUCCGUCUCAGAGUAUUUAAGAAAAGGAGAAGCCUUGACACUGCAGCCAGUUUACUAUGCAAUAUCUGAGCGACUUUUUGCAUUCCCUCUGUCUGAUCAUUUGUAUGCCACCUUGUUUGACGUUCUUCUUGGUGGAGCUAGCCCAAAACAGGUUUUACAGAAACGUAACCCCUCUGAAAAUCCAAAGAAUAAGAAAGAUGGCUCAGCAGGUUUCUCUUCUUAUUUUUUUGUCCCACAAAUUAUUGUAAUCAUCUUCAAAUAUUUGGCCAGUUGCCAUGAUGUUGGAGCAAGGACAAAAAUAUUAGGAGAUUUGCUUGACCUUCUUGUGUCAGAUCUUUCAAACACUGAAACUUUAAUGGAAACUGCAUGGAGUUCCUGGUUAGCAACUUCAGUGAAGCUCGUCAUGUUAAAUAACAUUGAAAGCGAAGGAGAAGGCCAAAAUGAUACAUCAAGGAUUCAUGAAAUAGUACUUAUAAGAAAUUUGUAUUGUAUUGUACUUUCGCAUUAUCUAUUUUCUGUGAAGGGUGGUUGGCACCGGUUGGAAGAGACGGUCAACUUUUUUCUUCUUAACUAUGAACAGGGAGGAGUAUUGCAUGCUAAUUUGCUACGAGGUAUAUUGGAAGACUUAUUUGGUAGUCUCCUUGAAGCGUCCUCAGAUGAAAACAUAUAUGCUUUGCAACCCUGUCGAGACAAUUCCUUGUACCUUAUCAAAUUGGCUGACGAACUUUUAAUCAGUGAAAGUGGUGAUAAAAUUCUGUUUCCUGAAAUUUCUCUCUCUUCAAACGCCUCAUCCAACCUUCAACAUGUGGAGCACCAGAAAUGCAUAAGCUCUGCUGUUCUUGAGAUACUGAAUCCUGAGUCUGAAGAUAAGCUUCUUAGGACUCAGUGGAGUUAUAAAACUAUUUCUGAGGAAGGUGGUGUUAUAGAAGAUGACCGCUGGGUUUUGUAUGAAAAACUAUGGCAUUUGUUAAGCGAAAUAAAUGGAAGGGGACCAAGCAAGGCAUUGCCAAAAAAUACAACUUUUAGUGGGCCAACUUUUGGUCAACGGGCUCGGGGAUUGGUCGAAUCACUGAAUAUUCCUGCUGCAGAAAUGGCUGCUGUAGUUGUUUCUGGAGGAAUUGGCACCGCAUUGGGUACUAAACCAGGCAAAUAUUUUGAUAAAGCGAUCCUUUUAAGAGGAGAGAAAUGCCCAAGGAUUGCAUUCCAUCUCUUAAUCCUGUAUCUUUCUAAGGCUGGACUAGAAAGGGCAUCACGAUGCGUUCAACAGUUCAUUUCAUUGCUUCCUUGCCUUCUUUCAUUUGAUGAUGAUCAAGGCAGGAACAGACUUCAUUUUCUGAUUUGGUCUCUACUCGCUGUGAGAUCACAGAUUGCAAUGCUUGAUGAUGGGGCUCGUUUCCAUGUUAUAUCUCAUUUGAUUCUUGAAAUAGUGAACUAUGGAAAGUCAAUUCUUGCCACUAGUAUUUUGGGUAGGGAUGAUUCAUUUGAAGUCACCAACAAUACAAAAGAGGCCGGAUUUAUUCUUAGUUUGAUUCAAAGGGAGAGAGUUCUGGCAGCGGCUACUGAUGAAGCGAAAUAUAUAAAGGCGACAAAAGAUGAUCGCAUAAAGCAGUUGCAGGAACUUCAUGCUAAAAUAGAUGAGUGUUCUCUUGCAGAACAUAACCAGUGGAAGGCCUUUGAAGAAGAUAUGACAUCUACUAUGAAUAUGAUUGUUUCAUUGGAUGAUGGCAGAAAGGCUGCUUUUCAGCUUGCUUAUGAUGAGGACCAGCAAAUUGUUGCUGAUAAGUGGCUCCAUAUGUUUCGCACAUUAAUUGAUGAGAGAGGUCCUUGGUCUGCAUGUCCUUUUCCAAACAAUAAUGCAACUCACUGGAAGCUUGACAAGACUGAAGACAAUUGGCGACGUAGACCAAAACUGAAACGCAAUUACAAAUUUGAUCAAAAACUUUGCUAUCCUCCAACAAAUAAAUCUUCUGAUCAAGCCUACCAACAAAUUGGAGAAUCCAGUAGCAGUAAAGGGGGCAAUUUCCCUGAACAGAUGAAACGCUUUCUUUUAAAAGGGGUGCGUGGUAUAACUGAAGAAAGCCCUGUUGAUCUAACUGAUGAGCCGGUGGACUUGAAUUCAGUGAAAGAUCCUGAUCACAAUCGUUCUUCUGAAAACCAGGUUUCAGAUUAUAUAAAAGAUGGCAAGGAUGAUACCGAUAUUAUGCAUGAUAAGAAAGAUUUACAAUCUGUCUCUGCAGAGACUGAGUCAGAUGAGGUUCACUUGUCAAAUUCUUGUGUUCUUAUUUCACCAAAAAGAAAACUUGCAGGGCAUUUAUUCGUCAUGCAAAAAUUUCUACAUUUUACUGGUCAGUUUUUAGUUGAAGGAACAGGUGGUUCUUCUGUUUUAAACAAGUUUUCUGACGGGAACCUCUCAGAUCCUACAAAAUCUGAUCAGCUGAGUGGGGCAGACAAGCAGAAAGAAAGUAAGGUAAUUACGAGUUCUGAAUCAAGCUAUGGAAAGGGUAAUGUCUUUGAUGUUCUGGCCACAGACGAUUUGCUAAAGAAUAAACCCAGUAAAGUAAAGUUGCACCGGAGGUGGAAUAUUUCAAAGAUAAAAUCUGUCCAUUGGACUCGAUAUUUAUUACAGUACACUGCGAUAGAGAUCUUCUUCAAUGAUUCAGCUGGUCCUGUUUUCUUCAAUUUUGUUACACCAAAAGAUGCGAAGAAUAUCGGUACAUUACUAGUUUCUUUGAGGAAUGAAUCUUUGUUUCCAAAAGCAAGUUCUAAAGUUAGAAGUGGAUUAAUCUCUUUUGUUGACCGGCGUGUGGCACUUGAAAUGGCUGAAACAUUCAGAGAGGGUUGGAGAAGAAGAGAAAUCAGUAACUUUGAAUAUUUGAUGCUUCUUAAUACACUUGCUGGGAGAUCCUACAAUGAUUUGACCCAGUAUCCUGUUUUUCCCUGGGUUUUGGCUGAUUAUUCAUCUGAAAAACUUGAUUUCAAUAAGUCUUCUACUUUUAGGGAUCUUUCAAAACCAGUUGGUGCUCUGGACACCAAACGUUUUGAGGUUUUUGAGGACAGAUAUCGUAACUUUUCUGACCCUGAUAUUCCUAGUUUUUACUAUGGUUCACACUAUUCUAGCAUGGGAAUUGUACUUUUUUACCUGCUUAGAAUGGAGCCUUUUACUGCAUUACACCGUAACUUGCAGGGUGGAAAAUUUGAUCACGCUGAUCGUCUUUUUCAAAGCAUAGAAGGAACAUACCGUAAUUGCCUUUCCAACACAAGCGAUGUGAAGGAACUCAUACCAGAAUUCUUCUACAUGCCUGAGUUUCUAGUUAAUUCAAAUUCAUAUCAUUUUGGUGUGAAACAAGAUGGGGAAGCAAUAGUUGAUGUUGUUCUUCCUCCGUGGUCCGAGGGUUCUCCUGAGGAAUUUAUCUACAGAAACCGAGAAGCCCUAGAGAGUGAAUAUGUGAGUUCUAAUUUACAUCAUUGGAUCGAUUUAAUUUUUGGUUACAAGCAGAGGGGAAAGCCAGCAGUAGAGGCAGCAAAUGUAUUCUAUUACUUGACUUAUGAAGGUGCUGUUGAUUUGGAGAGCAUGGAAGAUGCAUUGCAAAGAUCAGCAAUUGAAGAUCAAAUUGCAAAUUUUGGUCAGACACCAAUUCAGAUUUUUCGUAAAAAACACCCCAGAAGGGGACCUCCUAUGCCAAUUGCUCGUCCAUUAUAUUUUGCUCCUUCAUCAAUAAAUUUGACCACCGUAAUUCCAAAUGUAACUAAUUCCCCAUCUGCUAUAAUUUUUGUUGGGUUGCUGGAGGCAAGCAUUGUGAUCGUAAGCCAUGGCCUCUUCCUUUCAGUAAAGUUGUGGUUGACAACACAGUUACAAUUUGGUGGAAACUACACAUUUUCUGGAUCCCAGGAACCAUUUUUUGGGAUUGGCUCUGAUGUUCUUCCCACUCGGAAAAUUGGUACUUCCUUGGCCAAUGACAUGGAAUAUGGGAUACAAUGCUUGGUAACGAUGCAAAAUCUCAAUGAAAAUUAUCUGAUCUUAUGUGGCAAUUGGGAAAAUAGUUUCCAGGUAAUAUCUGUGCAUGAUGGAAAGAUUGUUCAGAGCAUCCACCAACACAAAGAUCUUGUUAGCUGUGUUGCAGUGACAUCUGAUGGAAGCAUUCUUGCUACUGGAAGCUAUGACACAACGGUCAUGAUUUGGCAUGCUUAUAAAGGGAGGUCCACAGAAAAGAAGGGAAGAAACGUGAAUUCUGACCUAAGAAAAGACCAUGUUAUCAGUGAAAACCCAUUUCAUAUUCUUUGCGGACAUGAUGACAUCAUCACAUGCUUAUUUAUUAGCUUAGAGCUUGAUAUAGCUAUUAGUGGAUCUAAAGAUGGAACUUGUGUUUUCCACACAUUACGGGAGGGAAGAUACGUGAGAUCCAUACAACAUCCUUUGGGUUGUUCCAUAUCAAAACUAGUUGCUUCACUGCAUGGGCGCAUGGUGAUUUAUGCUGAUGACGAUCUAAGUCUCCAUAUGUACUCUGUUAAUGGAAAGCAUAUUGCAGCUUCAGAAUCAAAUGGCCGUUUGAUCUGCAUGGAGCUCAGUGGCUGUGGUGACUUCCUCAUUUGUGCAGGUGAUCAUGGACAGAUUGUUCAACGCUCAAUGCAUUCUCUUGAGGUCCUACGAAGGUUUGAAGGAAUUGGUAAAGUUAUAACAUCAUUAACUGUGACCCCUGAAGAGUGUAUUUUAGCUGGAACCAAAGAUGGGAGUCUUCUUUUGUACUCCAUUGAUAACACUCAGCUUCGGAAAGGAAAUCUUUCUCGAAAUGGAAAGUGAAAACUUUCAGCCAUGGGAUAGAUUUUGCAUGCAGCUGAGGAAAUUAUGUUAAUGGUUUUCUGGGGAUCCAUGAAGGUAAAAUUUGGAAAAUGAAAGCAACUUUUUAGGCUUGGAUUGCCCUUGAAAACUGCCUUUGUUAAAAGUUUCUUAUGGACAUAACGGUUAAAUAAGUAAGCUUUUUAGUUGAGAUGGAGCUUCUGGAAGAGAAACAUGAUGGAUCAUUUAGUGUUAUGGUAACUUGUGAUCCUGGCCAGUCCUGAUCAUUAUAAGAUUGGCUGGCUUUGCAGGACUCUGGAACCACAGAUAGCACUGACCACAUACACUUCAUGGGAUUGCUAACCACAGAGAGUUGAAAAAUGGUUCUAAUACAAAAUUGUACAGUCAAUUCUUCAGUCACCUGUAUAUUUUCAUUACUUUGUUGGUACACUUGUAUAAUUCUUUUCUUUUUAGCUACUCAUGGUUUUCUAUCAGACUGUAAAUGUAUUCUUUGGCGCCUUCUUUCUGAACAUUUAUUAUGUUAAUGUUCAAUUAAUUCUAUAUGCAGGCAACUCGAAAGAACAUGUUAAACUUCUGAGUUCUGAUCAAGGAUUGUUUCAUAGAU